AUUGAACGCUGGCGGCAGGCCUAACACAUGCAAGUCGAGCGGAUGAGGGGAGCUUGCUCCUCGAUUCAGCGGCGGACGGGUGAGUAAUGCCUAGGAAUCUGCCUAGUAGUGGGGGACAACGUUUCGAAAGGAACGCUAAUACCGCAUACGUCCUACGGGAGAAAGUGGGGGAUCUUCGGACCUCACGCUAUUAGAUGAGCCUAGGUCGGAUUAGCUAGUUGGUAGGGUAACGGCCUACCAAGGCGACGAUCCGUAACUGGCCUGAGAGGAUGAUCAGUCAGACUGGAACUGAGACACGGUCCAGACUCCUACGGGAGGCAGCAGUGGGGAAUAUUGGACAGUGGGCGAAAGCCUGAUCCAGCCAUGCCGCGUGUGUGAAGAAGGCCCUCGGGUCGUAAAGCACUUUAAGUUGGGAGGAAGGGCUUACAGCGAAUACCUGUGAGUUUUGACGUUGCCGACAGAAUAAGCACCGGCUAACUUCGUGCCAGCCGCCGCAGUAA
rnacentral:rRNA from 1 species